CAACAAUAAAAUAACACUAACGAGGCUAUGUACAGGGUGUUACAGUACAGAGUCAAUGUGAGGUGGCUAUAUACAGGGUGUUACGGUACAGAGUCAAUGAGAGGUGGCUAUAUACAGGGUGUUACGGUACAAAGUCAAUGUGAGGAGGCUAUAUACAGGGUGUUACGGUACAGAGUCAAUGUGAGGUGGCUAUAUACAGGGUGUUACGGUACAGAGUCAAUGAGAGGAGGCUAUAUACAGGGUGUUACGGUACAGAGUCAAUGUGAGGAGGCUAUAUACAGGGUGUUACGGUACAGAGUCAAUGUGAGGAGGCUAUAUACAGGGUGUUACGGUACAAAGUCAAUGUGAGGAGGCUAUAUACAGGGUGUUACGGUACAGAGUCAAUGUGAGGAGGCUAUAUACAGGGUGUUACGGUACAGAGUCAAUGUGAGGAGGCUAUAUACAGGGGGUACUGGUACAGAGUCAAUGUGAGGAGGCUAUAUACAGGGUGUUACGGUACAGAGUCAAUGUGAGGAGGCUAUAUACAGGGUGUUACGGUACAGAGUCAAUGUGAGGAGGCUAUAUACAGGGUGUUACGGUACAGAGUCAAUGUGAGGAGGCUAUAUACAGGGGGUACCGGUACAGAGUCAAUGGGAGGAGG
rnacentral:lncRNA from 1 species